CCGGGCCGGGAGCAGGGCUUGCCAGGGUCCAUUGUACUCACGCUGGGGGGCUGAAGACCUUCUUGUACUGGUUCUGUUUAUCAGCCAAACUUUAGCUGACCUUUGGACUUGCUCCAGGACACAGCAGUUCUCAGGACGGCGCUCUGCGGCCGCGAGGUCACCGCAGCACUGGUGGGAGCAGGCGCCCACCAAGCCGCUGAGGGAAUGAAGUUUUUUUUUUCCACCUGGGUCCGGUCAGGAAUGAAACCGGAACCGUUCAGCUUUGUGGGAGUUUCACCUGCAUCUCCCCAGGGCGCCGAGGGGGGAAAGGAAGGAGGCCUGCGGCGCACCUGGACGUGCAGGCUGGUUCUGACCUGCAGAAGAACAGGGCAAGGGGCUUUUUAGGAUCCACCGUUCACAGACCCAUAGGCAGAGGACACCCCCUGACCCUCUCUAAGCCUCAGUUCCUCAUCCGAGAAAUACUGCAGCGGACAGUGCAGGGGGAGGGGUGGUGCAUACAUUGAAUGAGACCACCUGUGAACCCCUUGGUCUAAUAAUUGGUGUUCACACUUUUCAGCCUGGAAAGGGAAGGAAGCCAGUUCCCAGUAGGAAAAUCUAACCCCUUUGGGGGCUUAGUGUUCUCAGAAUCGGGCAGAUCCAGCACCGGGGUUGGAGGGACUGGGAGAUUAGGGACAAAAAUUCAGAAUCAGCAGGGAAUUUGCAAAGGGGCUUCUAACCAAAAUCUCCUACCAUUCCCACCUUUAAAAGGCAGGAGGAAGUUGGGACGAGUUCUGGGAAAUGUGGAAUUUCAGCAAGGGGGAGGAAGGAUCAGCGGCUCUCAUCUGCUUCAUUCUGGAUCAAAUCUCUUAGGUGUGCUAGAGCUGAAGCUCCAGGGGCGACUGAUUCAAGUUUGACUGCUAAGAGUGAGGCUGCCUCUUAAACACGGGGUCUGCUGGGGAUGCCUGGGACACGUGCCGGGAGCCAGAAGGAAGGGGGUGAUUGUGUGCAUGGAGUUUAUGGAGCCUUCUGGGAAGUUUACACUGUCUCAGGCUCUUCCCUUGAGAAAGCGUUAAUAAGUUCAUGGAAAUGAGGGUCCUUCAUUUCACCCUAUUGUCUUUUAGUUUGUUGUGACAUAUGGCAGGUCCUUGCCCCUCACAAUUCGGCCCAAUGGGAGAACAUUCUCUGCCUACCGAGAUCCCCUCAGCCAGGAUAAUGAAGUGUUCAGAGUAAAUGUCCCUGGAGAACAAUCUCUUUUUCUCUGUGUCUCACUUGCUAUCAUGAUAGAAGCAGUCAAGUGUAAUUGAAGAUCAGUUUCUGUGUUCGGCUGGGAAAACCCAUUAAAAAACCAGCAAUCACUUCCCUUUUAACAACAAAGCUUUGAUUUGUAGUUCUAACUAUCAUGUGCCCAGUCUGACUCAAGUUUUCUUAUCUCUCAAAAUUCAGGUGGUAGCAAACCCAUUCUUUCCCCUCUACCCCAGGCCAAUGAUGUGAACGUGGGGGAAGUUUCACUUUCAGAGGGAAACUUCCUUAUGAGUGUCCAGGUAUGCCUUUCAGUCAACCUGACUCUUCAUGUCCAGCAACUUCCUGUAAUCCUCCUGCUCAUUCCUACCUUGGAUACGAUACCUGGUGUAAUAUGGGUGCUCAGUAAGUAACAGCAACUAUAGCUCUGUGAGCAGAUCCAAUACCUACCUCUUCAUAUGGACAUUUAAAAGGAAAAGUGUAAUGAUCUCAGCAGACAGUUCUUCAGGAUGUGGGUCAUAAAUGCUAAUUCAAUGAGUUAUCUCUUAAAACCCUUUGGUGAAACUUCCCCCAAAUAGGGGAAACAAGAGUACAGUUGAAAUACUUUGUACUUAUGCUUCACACGGGAUACAAUGGUGAUGAACUGAUAUAGUAGCCUCCUUUUAAAGGUGGGAAAAUAAACCAUAAGUCACUUUAUUUUUUU